rnacentral:rRNA from 1 species
UGCGUAGGCGGCGUUAUAAGUCAGAGGUGAAAAGCCACCGCUUAACGGUGGGACUGCCUUUGAUACUGUAGUGCUUGAAUAAGGUUGAGGUUAGCGGAAUGUGACAUGUAGCGGUGAAAUGCAUAGAUAUGUCAUAGAACACCAAUUGCGAAGGCAGCUGGCUAGAUCUUUAUUGACGCUGAGGCACGAAAGCGUGGGGAGCGAACAGGAUUAGAUACCCUGGUAGUCC